GUUACAGUUAUUGUUAAAUAAUAAUUAAAAUCUAAUUGUGUGUUAAUAGUUGUCUCCCCCUAAUGGACGUCUUGAUAAUCAUAUAUUGUAGUGUUACCAUGUGACUAAUCAGAUGACCAACAAGGAAGUUAGCAUUUUCCAUGAUGUGCAGUUUUGAACAUGUGCUAUAGUGAAUCGGCAACAAUCCGUAUUCCUCCAUGGCCUUUGGUAGCUUCGUCGAUUUAGAGAUCCAGCAUUAGGAAGAUGCCAACUUUAACAGAUGUGCAGCGGGAGUAAACAGCAGCCAGGGUCAAGUGUGACUCAUAAAGAGAAGAUUGCCACUUAAAACUUUGCACAUAGUACUUCAGCUAUGUUUACCCUGCUUCAGUUAACUACCUUACCGUGCUCCGUGGCAAGUAAAGCCUCACUGCAUUCAGAAA